rnacentral:rRNA from 1 species
GAUCAUGGCUCAGGAUGAACGCUGGCGGCGUGCUUAACACAUGCAAGUCGAACGGAGUUUUAACGGAAGUUUCGGAUGGAAGUUUAAAACUUAGUGGCGGACGGGUGAGUAACGCGUGGGUAACCUGCCUCAUACAGGGGGAUAACAGUUAGAAAUGACUGCUAACACCGCAUAAUAUAGCGAAACCGCAUGAUUUUGCUAUCAAAUAUUUAUAGGUAUGAGAUGGGCCCGCGUCUGAUUAGCUAGUUGGUGGGGUAAAAGCCUACCAAGGCGACGAUCAGUAGCCGGCUUGAGAGAGUGACCGGCCACAUUGGGACUGAGACACGGCCCAAACUCCUACGGGAGGCAGCAGUGGGGAAUAUUGGACAAUGGGGGAAACCCUGAUCCAGCGAACCGCCGCGUGAGUGAAGAAGUAUUUCGGUAUGUAAAGCUCUAUCAGCAGGGAAGAUAAUGACAGUACCUGACUAAGAAGCCCCGGCUAACUACGUGCCAGCCGCAGC